UCCUUCUUAGCUCAGUUGGUAGAGCGCGUCACUAGUAUGUGUAUGGAUGUUACGCACAUAUUUCUUAUGACGAGGUCAGUCGUUCAAGUCGGCUAGAAGGAA